rnacentral:lncRNA from 1 species
UUGACCUUGUGCGGUAUCUAUCUGAACUUCCCCGACUGUCCGAGCUUCCACAAUACCGUCCGGACUCCCCCAGCAGUCGACCUUCCACAGUGUCCUCCAGAUUCCUCCAACGAACGAACUCCUAUCGUGUCAUCCAGACUUCUCUAAUAAUGAGCUCCUCCAUUCAUCCACCGGACUACUCCAAAUGCUCUCUAGGCUUCACUAUCAGUCGAUUUUCUACAGUGAUCGACUACUCUCCGAAUCUCUUCCAGAUUUCUUCCAGCC